rnacentral:rRNA from 1 species
UGGGGAAUUUUGGACAAUGGGCGAAAGCCUGAUCCAGCAAUGCCGCGUGUGUGAAGAAGGCCUUCGGGUUGUAAAGCACUUUUGUCCGGAAAGAAAUCCUUGGCUCUAAUACAGUCGGGGGAUGACGGUACCGGAAGAAUAAGCACCGGCUAACUACGUGCCAGCAGCCGCGGUAAUACGUAGGGUGCAAGCGUUAAUCGGAAUUACUGGGCGUAAAGCGUGCGCAGGCGGUUUGCUAAGACCGAUGUGAAAUCCCCGGGCUCAACCUGGGAACUGCAUUGGUGACUGGCAGGCUAGAGUAUGGCAGAGGGGGGUAGAAUUCCACGUGUAGCAGUGAAAUGCGUAGGGAUGUGGAGGAAUACCGAUGGCGAAGGCAGCCCCCUGGGCCAAUACUGACGCUCAUGCACGAAAGCGUGGGGAGCAAACAGGAUUAGAUACCCUGGUAGUCCACGCCCUAAAACGAUGUCAACUAGUUGUUGGGGAUUCAUUUCCUUAGUAACGUAGCUAACGCGUGAAGUUGACCGCCUGGGGAGUACGGUCGCAAGAUUAAAACUCAAAUGAAUUGACGGGGUCAUAGCUGUUUCC